UGUAUUAAGUAUAACAAAAUCAAUUAAUACCUAAUCCAAGUAUGUAAUACAUAUUAUUCAUUUACAAAAGGAAACAAGUUGUAAGAAAUAAAAUAGUUUUUUUUAAUCCCUAUGUUGCAUAAUUAAAGUUAUUCACCUGAAUAAUAUUAUCUGUGAAGCGUGAAAUUGGUAAAAAGUUCCUCUAGUUUUGUUAAUAAAUUGUUUGGUUUGAAAUUUAAGAUGACAGAAGUUCAAUGUCAUCAAAAUCUUUUAUUUGUUGACAGCAGAAAAGUAAAAACAAACACUGUAGCCUUAAAAGUUACUAAAAAUAUAACCAAAUUGCAGAAAAAAUUGCAUGAAAAAUAGGACAUGUUCUAUUUAGCUGCAACUUAUUCUUGCAGCAAGGAGUUGCAGCUUUUCUGUGCAAUUCGCGUAUGACACGAUGCAAUUUCUAUUGCUGCAAGAAAUUGUGCAAUUAAUUGCGCAAUUAGUUGCAUGGUGUAAAGUGGCUAUUACAUUACUGAACAAAACAAAGUCGGGAACAAUGGAUAUGUAAAAGCCAUAAGGAGAACAGAACUAAAAUUAAAAUAUGAAAGAAUAUGCAAUAAACAUUGUAUAAAAGUGGAAAGCCAGCCACUUUAAAAAGAUAUUCCAAACUAAAACAUGGGUUACCAAAGCAGGCAAUAAAAAGAAAAGGUGAUCUAGAAUGCAAGAGAAGAGCUGAUGAAAGAAGUAAAUGUAAAGAAAAUAAUGAAGAGACUUCUCUGGACCAUGAACAAACACCAGCUAUUUUAUAUAUGUAGAAAAUGGAAAAACUGCUGGAACUUUACUUUAAAGGCUUUUGACUAGUGAAGAUUUGGAUAAACAACAGGAGUUACUUUGGGCUAUAGCUACGUGCAAAUUUAUUUUCUUGUGGCUUCCUAUGUUUAUUCUUAUUAACUAUAUCUACACUUUGAUAUGUUUUUAGUCGCAUGAAGAUUUUAUAGUUUAUUAUUUUAUGUAUAUUGUUAUAUUUGUGUUGAAUAAACAUUAUUAUUAUUAUUA